rnacentral:rRNA from 1 species
GUGAGGAAUAUUGGACAAUGGGCGCAAGCCUGAUCCAGCCAUGCCGCGUGCAGGAAGACGCAUCUAUGGUGUGUAAACUGCUUUUGUACGGGAAGAAACACUCCCUCGUGAGGGAGCUUGACGGUACCGUAAGAAUAAGGAUCGGCUAACUCCGUGCCAGCAGCCGCGGUAAUACGGAGGAUCCAAGCGUUAUCCGGAAUCAUCGGGUUUAAAGGGUCCGUAGGCGGUUUAAUAAGUCAGUGGUGAAAGCCCAUCGCUCAACGAUGGAACGGCCAUUGAUACUGUUAGACUUGAAUUACAAGGAAGUAACUAGAAUAUGUAGUGUAGCGGUGAAAUGCUUAGAUAUUACAUGGAAUACCAAUUGCGAAGGCAGGUUACUACUUGUGGAUUGACGCUGAUGGACGAAAGCGUGGGGAGCGAACAGGAUUAGAAACCCGUGUAGUCC